CAGAAAUCAGUUCGUCUUCGUUGCAACAGAUGAAAUUUCUUGUAACACCUCUGCAGUUACGGACGAGUUUAUGCUGCCGACCCCUACCACCACACACUUGCUCCAGCCCCCACCUACGGCGUUGGUGCCAUGCCCCAAGGUUCCAGCCCCAGCACAGACUUCAGAGGAGCUAAGCUGCACACUUCCAGGCCUCUGCUGUCAGGCAGCUGAGCAUCUGCCUGCCUCUCCUCCCCUUUUACAAUUCAUGUUUAAAGUCAUAGUCGCCCAGGAGAGAAAAUAGACAGAGAAAAUAGACAUAGACACUUAUGUACAGUGUGCCUAGUACAUAAGAAAUUAAGGAAUCAGCUGGCUUUGGGGGUUAUCUUGUUCUUUUUUUCUUUUUUUCAUUAGGGGGUGGGGAA